AGAAUCAACGCUGGCGGCGUGCCUAACACAUGCAAGUCGAACGAGAAAGGGGAGCAAUCCCUGAGUAAAGUGGCGACCGGGUGAGUAACACGUGACUAACCUACCCUCGAGUGUGGAAUAACAUCGGGAAACCGAUGCUAAUACCGCAUAACAUCGGCGCUUUUAAGAGAUGCCGAUCAAAGGAGCAAUCCGCUUGAGGAGGGGGUCGCGGCUGAUUAGCUAGUUGGCGGGUAACGGCCCACCAAGGCGAAGAUCGGUA
rnacentral:rRNA from 1 species